rnacentral:rRNA from 1 species
UAGGGAAUAUUGCAAAAUGGGCGAAAGCCCGAUGCAGCAACGCCGCGUGGGCGAUGAAGGCCUUCGGGUCGUAAAGCCCUUUUUGAGGGGAUGAGGAAGGACAGUACCCUCAGAAUAAGCCUCAGCUAACUACGUGCCAGCAGCCGCGGUAAAACGUAGGAGGCGAGCGUUAUCCGGAUUUACUGGGCGUAAAGCGCGUGCAGGCGGAUUGGAGAGUUGGAUGUGAAAGCUCCCGGCUUAACUGGGAGAGGUCGUUCAAUACUUCCAGUCUUGAGUGCAGUAGAGGGAAGUGGAAUUCCGGGUGUAGUGGUGAAAUGCGUAGAUAUCCGGAGGAACACCAGUGGCGAAAGCGGCUUCCUGGACUGUAACUGACGCUCAGACGCGAAAGCUAGGGUAGCAAACG